ensembl:lncRNA
AUGGAGACAACAACACGGCGGCGCUGUGAGUUCCGCACCGAGUGGCCAGGGAGAAGGUAUUUGUCUUAAAAGACUGAUUUCUCUGGGACAUCGUGGUCAAGGGGCUCCUCCAUCUUCUCAUAGAGCCCUGUGAGACUGUGACUUGGACGUGGUCAAUCAGACCGGAGAUCCCCAAAACAAAGGAGGAACAGCUCUUGCAUUUCUUGGAUUCCAUCUGAGCAUCCACUUUACAACUGAAGGUGCCCAACUCCUACCCAGGCAACCCCAAGCUCCAUCAUGAGGCCUGGAGACAGUGGAGACUGUACUGUGAGCUCUGGUGAAUCAUGCCUGAGUGCCAGCACAACAGCUGUUCCCACCAUCAAUGGCAGCAGCAUGGGCAUGAGUGCUUGUAGCAACAACAUCAGUGCCCAGCACUAGAUCCUGCACAGAUGGAGCAUCAGAUAGACUGGAAUGCUGGCAGCAGUGAGGUGCCACGAGGGGCUUCUGGGAAAUGCAAGCUGGAGGCUGGCCUGGUAGCUAAUGUUUCCUCCUUCAGAAAACUCUUUUGGCCUUGACCUCCAGGGCUUUGGGUCUGACCAAUGUGCAGAUGUUGUUUACUUUUUGCAACUGCUGUGAUUCUGUGUGACAGUGCAGCUGUCCAUGGUCUAAUGAGGGAGAAUGACUUGUAUUUGGAGCAGCCUGUGUCUCUGCUGUGUGUGCGUGGUGCAGGAUGUGUCUGGGUGUCAUGCGCUCCCUUAGAUAUGAUGGUCUUUGCAUUCACUUCCUGUGGACUGAGGGUCUGUGGACUGAGGGUCAGUGGACCGUGUCUCACACUCCACCUGUGCCUACUGGGCCUUUCUCCCUCUGCUCUGAGUGGUCAGGAGAUUGGAAGGUGAAUGGAAGGGAGAAGCCAGGUAUUUCUUUUCCUCUCUCUACUUUGGAUGAUGUCUGUGUCAGCAGCUGCAUCUUCCUUGUGAUUCUGGUUUCUGCCGGACAGGCCUCAGAGCUCCAAUAACCUGAUAGCCUUUCCUCUCCUGGGUGUGGUGGUAGAUUCCUGAUGGUGCCAACCCUGGGUUACUUCGCUGCCCCUGACUGUGCAUUAAAUCUGUAUUUUAAACACCAGGGUGGCCUCUGCUUUUCCAGUUGGGCCCUGACUGAUGCAGCAGCUGGUAUUUAUAAUAAAUUACCCACCCUCAUCCAUGUCACCUUUGCUGCAUGGACAAGGGAGAAAAAAAUAUAUCAUACUGGCCAUCCAAUGCUCUCUGUAAAUAUUGAAAUUGAGAAUGUUAUGUCCAAGAAAGAAGGGAUUUGUCAGUCUUGUUCAACAUUGUAGUCCUAGCACCUAGCACAAUGUCUGGCACAUAAUAGUCAACAAAUAUUUGUUGAAUGGAUGACCGCAUCUUUGUGUGAUGUAACAGUAGACAAGCAAUACUUGGUCGAAGAUGAAAGGGCAAUGAGCUGAGUGUCACAGCAGUGGCCAUGGCAGGAAGAAGUAUUUGGUUUAACCCUCCUCCACCUACUGCCCCAGGGGGUUCCAUCUUUUCCCUCCUUAGACACACAAUGGGAUUUUUAAAUAUGGUAACUGUUUAAAUUGUAAAAAAUUUAUUACAGUAAGAGACACAUUUCCAUUAAUGUCCCUCAAAAUAUUCCUCCUCACUUCAAACAUCUUAAUCCUGUUGUUUUGCCACUUUUUAUUUUUGGUACCGGGGAUUGAACUCGGGUCUUUGCGCUUGCGCAGCAGGCAACGAAACCACUCAGCCAAAUCCCUGGCCCCUGUUUUGCCACUUUUUGAAGCAGUUCUGGAAGUCCUCUUUUGUGAGUGUCUUUAGCUGUACUAUCCUGGCUGCCUUGAGGUCAUGAAUCAAUUCAAAACAUUUACCUUUCAUGGUCAUUGUGACUUUGGGGAAGAACCAGAAGCAAUGUGGUGCCAGAUCAGGUGAAUAAGGUAGACGAGGACACAUGGUAAUAUUUUUAUGAGUCUGCAUUUCCUUUGGAUGUCACUUGACAGCAGCAUUCAUCAUAUUUUUGGUCACAGCUGGUAAAGACACUUGUGAAAGAGGACUUCCAGAACUGCUUCAGAAAAAUCACAAGAUAUUUUUCUUUUUAAAACUUUAUUUCCAAAAGAAAAAGUGACAAGAACAGUGCAGUAAGUGUG